AAUGAUCAGUUAAUGUAGGCAAUAAUGGUGUGAAAUGUAGUCACAUGAUUAAUCUUUUUUGCCUUUGAUGAGGCCCACAUCUUGGAUUGCUUGACCCCUUAUGUUAAUAUGUGUGAUCAUGCUAGAGGUAUUUGCAAUUGUUGAUUAAUUGGCGAUUGGUUUUUGAAAUGAGGUAUAGCUGCGUUAGAAGGGUGCAUAUACAAUUGUUAACAGAGGUCCAGGAAGUGGGACAAGAAAGAAAUAUUCUGUCAACAAGUUGGAAAUCUGUUAUGAAGCCUGAGCCUUCUUCACCUGUAAAAUCGUUGACAGUUGACAUCAGCUACGUGAAACUCGAUUUAUACUAUUAUACAAUUUGUCACUGAACAGAUACAACGCCAUCUAUGGAGCAGAUUAACAUGGAGAGCUCAAGCUCUUCCGUGCAAAGAG